AAAUAAUAGGUAUUGUAAAAUUAUUAUGUUUAUAAUAAAUAAUAUAAAGUAUAUAAUAAUAAAUUGUUUGUUUAUAAAGUAUUAAGGGUAUAGAUUUAAUGUUUGUUACAGUACUGUGAAGGAAUAUAUUGUAUAUUGGUUUAUAGUAGAAUAUAUAUUCGUACCUUUUGUAUAAUGGAUUAAUGAUAUACUGGUCUUAAAUAAGGCAGUCUCGAAAUAAAAAGAUUUACUUAGUGAAUAAUGUGUUAACGUUGAAUAGUUAUAUAUUUAAUACUAAGUGGUAAUGAUAUGUUUAUCGAUUUUUAUGGUAGCUAGUUUAUUGGUUUAAAAUAUUUAAGUAUUGUAAUAUUAAUAUAAUUAUAUAUUUAUUUAAUAUUUUUUAUUAUAUGAGGGAUAAGCUUCAUAUAUUUUAUAGAGUUAGUAUAUUAUUUAGUAAUUGGAGUAGAGUUAAUAGUGCUUUUCUUUAAGAGUAGUUAAAUUAAUUAAUGUUUAGUAAUUCAAGUAUAAGUAAUCAUAAAUAUUUAUAAACUAGGUUUAAAUAAAUAUAAUGUUAAUAUGAGUAUUAUUAUAAAUUAUAAUUUGAUUAUUUUUAGUUGAGUUAAUUUAGUGUAAAUGAUAUAAAGUAAAAUAAGAUAAAGGAAUUCGGCAAAUAUUAAUCUCGCCUGUUUAUCAAAAACAUCUCUCUUUGUUAUAUUAUAUAUAAAGAGUUGGGCCUGCUCGGUGAUGAUUAUUUUUAACAGCUGCGGUAUUUUAACUGUACUAAGGUAGCAUAAUAGUUUGCCUUAUAAUUUGAGGCUAGAAUGAAUGGUUUGACGAAGGUUAAUCUGUCUCUAUUUUAUUUAAUAGAAGUUAAUUUUUAAGUGAGAAGGCUUGAAUUUUUUAAAGGGACGAGAAGACCCUAUUGAGCUUGUAAUUUUAUUUUAUUGUUUAUUAGAAUAGUAAAGUAUAAAUUUUAAUUGGGGUGAUUAAGGAAUAAGAUAAUAUAAGAUAACUUCCUUAAAGGUUAGUAUAGGUGUAUGAAGUAACCAAUAAAUUAUAUUGCUUAUAUUAUAGUUACCAUAGGGAUAACAGCGUAAUUUACUUAGAGAGUUCUUAUUGAAAAGUGAGAUUGCGACCUCGAUGUUGGAUUAAAGUAACCUUAAGGUGUAGAAGCUUUAUUAGGUAAAUCUGUUCGAUUUUUAAAACUUUACAUGAUCUGAGUUCAGACCGGCGUAAGCCAGGUUGGUUUCUAUCUUUUAAAAUGAUUGUAGUUUCUUUUAGUACGAAAGGACCAAAGUGAACUAAAUUAUUGAUUAUAAUAAUUAAUGAAUUGGUAUCUAAUAUUGAUUAGAGAUGUUAAAGUCGAAUUUACAUUAAUGAUUA
rnacentral:rRNA from 1 species